UACGAAGGGGGCUAGCGUUGUUCGGAAUUACUGGGCGUAAAGCGCACGUAGGCGGAUGUGUCAGUCAGGGGUGAAAUCCCGGAGCUCAACUUCGGAACUGCCUCUGAUACAGCACGUCUUGAGUCCGGAAGAGGUGGGUGGAAUUCCUAGUGUAGAGGUGAAAUUCGUAGAUAUUAGGAAGAACACCGGUGGCGAAGGCGGCCCACUGGUCCGGUACUGACGCUGAGGUGCGAAAGCGUGGGGAGGCAAACAGGAUUGAGAAACCCCAG
rnacentral:rRNA from 1 species